UACGGAGGGUGCCAGCGUUAAUCAGAAUUACUGGGCGUAAAGCGCACGUAGGCGGUUUAGCAAGUCGGAUGUGAAAGCCCCGGGCUUAACCUGGGAAUUGCAUUCGAGACUGCUUGGCUAGAGUUUGGUAGAGGGAAGCGGAAUUCCGGGUGUAGCGGUGAAAUGCGUAGAUAUCCGGAGGAACACCAGUGGCGAAGGCGGCUUUCUGGACCAAAACUGACGCUGAGGUGCGAAAGCGUGGGGAGCAAACAGGAUUAGAACGUCC
rnacentral:rRNA from 1 species